CCCGGAGAUCCACAUCAUUUACUGAUCUGACUUUGGUCAACUGAUCUUUUUGGACAGUCAUUUUUGGGCUCUAACAGUCACUCUAUUGAAAGGAUGAAGUGCCUUGCAAUCUUUCUGGGAGUGGCCCUUGUCAUUCUCCUGGCUGAACCCGGAGAGAGUUUCAGUAAAAAGUCAAAAUGGCAACCUAAAAUACCUUCACACGGUAUUUUUCCAAGAGCCAAAAAAGGUGGUGAUGGUGAUUACACCAGUCUUGGUGGUGGUGAUGGUGACUACACCAGUCCUGGUGAUGGUGA